AUCUUCCACUAAGUUCAGUAAAUAAUUCAGAGAAAAUAAGUUCAAAGAAUAUCCUAAUUCUUCACUGAAUUCUUCUGACAGUCUGUUAACAAACAGCUGUGUUAUCCUGUAACUCACAUACUAUGGCACUUGCAAGAACCUUCUUGGUGUUCAUUCAGCUGUGAAACAAAACAGUUCAAGGAGCAGAGCUGCAUGAUAUCUAUCUGGGAGCAACAUAGAGGAUAAUUUCAGGAGAACUGAGUUAGACUGACUUGAUGUGCCCUGGCUAAUUUUAAUCUACUCUUGGAUCAUCUACUACAGACAGGCAGUCUGUCAAAAUGGUGUCUGACAUUAAAGAGAGAAUAAAGAGAAGAUGUGUCAUUGAAUUCCUUCACACACACACACACACAAAAUGGAACUAUUUGACAUUGACUCUGAAUGUUUUGGAGAUCAAGAUUUGGACAGGAGCAUCCUGAAGCAGUAGGAGCUAUGUUUCAGCAGUGGCAACAGUGGGUCACCUCCAGUGUUUCCAAGAAAAUACAUAGGAGGAAUUACUUUCAAGGUGACAUAUGCAGUUCAAGACAAUUCCUCUUCUCUCAGUGCAGUCCUGACAAGCCAAAAGGUUGGACGCCCAUGGACUACUGCCUCUCUUUUGUUAUGAAUGACACUGGAAAAGAAGGCUGUCAAGCAAGUACUGUCACAUGUGGAUUAUCAGUUUGAGAGGAAGACACUGAAAGGCAUAAGAUUUCAGAAUAAUCAUACAAUCAAAGAAUCAUUAAGACCACUGAAAAUGUCACUAAGAUCAUCUAGUCCGACCAUCAACCCAUGAUCACCAUGUUCCCUAAGCCGUGUCUCUAAGUGCCAUGUCUACAUGUUUCUUGAAAACCUCCAGGGAUGGUGACUCCAUUUCUUCCCUGGUCAGUUUGUUCCAAUACAUUAACACUCCAAGAAGAAAUUUUCCUAAUGUCCAACCUGAACCUCCCCUCGUGCAACUUAAAGCCGUUCUCUCUCAUCCUAUUGCUGUUACCUGGGAGAAGAAUCCAAUCUCCACCUUGCCACAAUUUCCUUUCAGGCUGCUGUAGUGAGCUACAAAGUCUCUCCUGAGCCUCCUCUACUCAAGACUUCACAAUCCCAGUUCCCUUAGCCACUCCUCAUAAGUCUUGUGCUCCAGAUCUAAUUAAAGGGAAUAUUCUCAUUAGACAGUACCUUAUUUAUAGAUAAUUAAUUGUAUAGGAAUAUAAAAUCAGAUAAUCUAUUUUCUUCCUUCAGAGAAAUUAUUUUUCUGGUUUAUUUUUAGAUAUUUUGACUGUCUAUAUUGUUGGGCUGAACUUGCCAAACUUCAUAGUAUCCAUAUACAUCCUAAGCCCACAGGUCUAGCCCAUCAGACCAAUUUAAAGGGGAUCAAAAAGUUGUCUACAUGCUCAGCACCAGAAUCCUGAGUGAAAUAUAUGUGCCAGGACUUUUUUGUUAAGAGGCUAUAAUGAUUUAUUUAUACAGUUUGCUACUUUUGGAGAAAUUCUACAUGUUGUUAAUAUGUAUAAAUUUACAUUUUUCAGUACUUAAGAGAUUUUAAUUUUUAUUAAAGCAUAUAAAAAUUGCAGAUGUAGCAGAUUUUCUAAGAUACAGCAAGUUAGCAACUUUUUCCUGGAUUCUUUUUGUACCAUACUUUCUUAUAUUAUUGUAGAUUAUAUGGCACAAAGCACUCAUCUGAGAAGCUUGAAAAAUAUUAAAGAUAUUACUUGAAGUUAGAGAAUUACCCCCCAAAUAUAUUAUUUUAUAGAAGUGAUAGAAUUCUGUACAUAUAUGUAUAAACAAAUAUAAAACUUACAUAAAUUUAAAAUAUAUUCCAUGUGUUUGUAUGCAUGUACAUAUAUAUAUGCAUAUAUAUAUAUAUGGGGUACACAUAUACUCCAUGGAAAAUUCAUAAAUACUUCCUCAUAUUCAUACAAAAAUGUAUGUAUCAUAUUUGAAUUAUUAGAGUGCAAGAUGCUGAAUAUUUUUUAGAGAGCAUAAAAUGUAUUUCUUGUGACUGAAAAAAUGUGACUGGAAAAAUGUGAUCUAAAAUGAGGAAUUAGCCAAAUAUUUCAGAUUCAGAAAGAGCAUAGCAACCUGUUGCUGCUAUCAGUAAAGCUGGAUAGCAUGGUCUUCCUGGAAUGGAUUCUGUACAUGGUUAAUCAAAUAGUCAUUAAUUCAAAUCCUCUGAAUUACUGUGAAAAGUGAAUUCAUGUACAUAUCUUUUCUCUCAAAAGGAAGUUGCCUACCUUGUAUCCUGUGAUAAAGAUUUAUUCUAUUAAAACCAUAAAAGGCUCAC
ensembl:lncRNA